CCGGUGUAGGCGGCAGACGCUGGACGUUCACUUUUUAAGCAAGGAGUUCUGUAGAAUUUCUUCUCAUUAUUAUGGGCAAGGUGUAGAACUUGAAUUCUCAGCAAGAAGAGCUUGUUUUGAAUCUGAUACAACUAUACUGUCACUCAACUCGCGUCCGCUGGUUUCAAAUGGGAAAAGCAGAAUGCAGGUUACUGUAACAGCAAUUACAACCUCAAAUAGAAUAAUAGCUUCCUUGAGAUGGCAACUGCUUGUCAAAGCAACUGCUACAAGAGGACACACU
rnacentral:misc_RNA from 1 species